rnacentral:rRNA from 1 species
UGGGGAAUAUUGGACAAUGGGCGCAAGCCUGAUCCAGCAAUACCGCGUGUGUGAAGAAGGCCUGCGGGUUGUAAAGCACUUUAAGUUGGGAAGAAAAGCUGUAUGCUAAUACCAUAUAGUGUUGACGUUACCAACAGAAUAAGCACCGGCUAACUCUGUGCCAGCAGCCGCGGUAAUACAGAGGGUGCAAGCGUUAAUCGGAAUUACUGGGCGUAAAGCGUACGUAGGUGGCUGAAUAAGUCAGAUGUGAAAUCCUCGAGCUCAACUUGAGAAUUGCAUUUGAAACUGCUUAGCUAGAGUAUGGUAGAGGGAAGUGGAAUUCCACGUGUAGCGGUGAAAUGCGUAGAUAUGUGGAGGAACAUCAGUGGCGAAGGCGACUUCCUGGACUAAUACUGACACU